UACGAAGGGGGCUAGCGUUGCUCGGAAUCACUGGGGGUAAAGCGGACGUAGGCGGAUCGUUAAGUCAGGGGUGAAAUCCUGGAGCUCAACUCCAGAACUGCCUUUGAUACUGGCGACCUUGAGUUCGGGAGAGGUGAGUGGAACUGCGAGUGUAGAGGUGAAAUUCGUAGAUAUUCGCAAGAACACCAGUGGCGAAGGCGGCUCACUGGCCCGAUACUGACGCUGAGGUGCGAAAGCGUGGGGAGCAAACAGG
rnacentral:rRNA from 1 species